rnacentral:rRNA from 1 species
AGUGAACGCUGGCGGUAGGCCUAACACAUGCAAGUCGAACGGCAGCACAGUAAGAGCUUGCCCUUACGGGUGGCGAGUGGCGGACGGGUGAGGAAUACAUCGGAAUCUACUUUUUCGUGGGGGAUAACGUAGGGAAACUUACGCUAAUACCGCAUACGACCUACGGGUGAAAGCAGGGGAUCUUCGGACCUUGCGCGAUUGAAUGAGCCGAUGUCGGAUUAGCUAGUUGGCGGGGUAAAGGCACACCAAGGCGACGAUCCGUAGCUGGUCUGAGAGGAUGAUCAGCCACACUGGAACUGAGACACGGUCCAGACUCCUACGGGAGGCAGCAGUGGGGAAUAUUGGACAAUGGGCGCAAGCCUGAUCCAGCCAUACCGCGUGGGUGAAGAAGGCCUUCGGGUUGUAAAGCCCUUUUGUUGGGAAAGAAAAGCAGCAGGUUAAUACCCCGCUGUUCUGACGGUACCCAAAGAAUAAGCACCGGCUAACUUCGUG